CAGUCGCCACGGUAAUACGUAGGUCCCGAGCGUUGUCCGGAUUUAUUGGGCGUAAAGGGAGCGCAGGCGGUUUAGUAAGUCUGAAGUUAAAGGCAUUGGCUCAACCAAUGUAUGCUUUGGAAACUGUUAGACUUGAGUGCAGAAGGGGAGAGUGGAAUUCCAUGUGUAGCGGUGAAAUGCGUAGAUAUAUGGAGGAACACCGGUGGCGAAAGCGGCUCUCUGGUCUGUCACUGACGCUGAGGCUCGAAAGCGUGGGUAGCGAACAGGAUUAGAUACCCCUGUAGUCCCUGUCUCUUAUACA
rnacentral:rRNA from 1 species